GGUGAGUAAUGUCUGGGAAACUGCCUGAUGGAGGGGGAUAACUACUGGAAACGGUAGCUAAUACCGCAUAAUGUCGCAAGACCAAAGUGGGGGACCUUCGGGCCUCAUGCCAUCAGAUGUGCCCAGAUGGGAUUAGCUAGUAGGUGGGGUAACGGCUCACCUAGGCGACGAUCCCUAGCUGGUCUGAGAGGAUGACCAGCCACACUGGAACUGAGACACGGUCCAGACUCCUACGGGAGGCAGCAGUGGGGAAUAUUGCACAAUGGGCGCAAGCCUGAUGCAGCCAUGCCGCGUGUGUGAAGAAGGCCUUCGGGUUGUAAAGCACUUUCAGCGGGGAGGAAGGCGGUGAGGUUAAUAACCUCAUCGAUUGACGUUACCCGCAGAAGAAGCACCGGCUAACUCCGUGCCAGCAGCCGCGGUAAUACGGAGGGUGCAAGCGUUAAUCGGAAUUACUGGGCGUAAAGCGCACGCAGGCGGUCUGUCAAGUCGGAUGUGAAAUCCCCGGGCUUAACCUGGGAACUGCAUUCGAAACUGGCAGGCUAGAGUCUUGUAGAGGGGGGUAGAAUUCCAGGUGUAGCGGUGAAAUGCGUAGAGAUCUGGAGGAAUACCGGUGGCGAAGGCGGCCCCCUGGACAAAGACUGACGCUCAGGUGCGAAAGCGUGGGGAGCAAACAGGAUUAGAUACCCUGGUAGUCCACGCCGUAAACGAUGUCGAUUUGGAGGUUGUGCCCUUGAGGCGUGGCUUCCGGAGCUAACGCGUUAAAUCGACCGCCUGGGGAGUACGGCCGCAAGGUUAAAACUCAAAUGAAUUGACGGGGGCCCGCACAAGCGGUGGAGCAUGUGGUUUAAUUCGAUGCAACGCGAAGAACCUUACCUGGUCUUGACAUCCACAGAACUUAGCAGAGAUGCUUUGGUGCCUUCGGGAACUGUGAGACAGGUGCUGCAUGGCUGUCGUCAGCUCGUGUUGUGAAAUGUUGGGUUAAGUCCCGCAACGAGCGCAACCCUUAUCCUUUGUUGCCAGCGGUCCGGCCGGGAACUCAAAGGAGACUGCCAGUGAUAAACUGGAGGAAGGUGGGGAUGACGUC
rnacentral:rRNA from 1 species